rnacentral:rRNA from 1 species
UACGUAGGGUGCGAGCGUUGCCCGGAUUUAUUGGGCGUAAAGGGCGCGUAGGCGGCCUGGCGCGUCGGCUGUGAAAUCUCCCGGCUCAACUGGGAGGGGACGGCCGAUACGGCUGGGCUUGAGCGAGGUAGGGGAGAGUGGAAUUCCCGGUGUAGUGGUGGAAUGCGUAGAUAUCGGGAAGAACACCCGUGGCGAAGGCGGUUCUCUGGGACGGUACUGACGCUGAGACGCGAAAGCGUGGGGAGCGAACAGG